GGGGGUAGCGGGGUGCUGGUGUGCCUUCUGAUCUUCAAAAUCAGCGUAGGUGAUUAAGAGUUGCCUAGGUGGGUUCGAUUCCCACAUGCCCUCGCCA
rnacentral:tRNA from 1 species